AGGGGUAGUGUUGUGUGGAGCAUACCAAAGGCAUUAUUGACAAUUAUUGUUAGUGUUUUCUCUACUAUCUCUCAAACAAUGAAGAAGGCUAUUAUUCUAAUUGCUUUUCUCAUUUUGGUUUCUUCAUUUCUCUCCCAUCCUUCUUCCACUGAAGCUCGUGGAUUAUAUGAUUUGACCUCGCCACCAAAUAAUAGGAACAAGCCUGCAGUUGAAUGUCCUCCUAAUUCUCCUUACAGAUCUUGCCUUAAACCUGCGCCCAAACCAACUUGCCCUCCAUAUACACGUAAUUGCAAGAAGUAGCAAAAGAAAUAUAUGACUAAUAAUGAUGAAUAUUAUCCUCUAAAAUAUUAAAUAAAAGGUCGUUUUGCGUAUGUGGAGUGAGAAGUUUCUAAUAUCUUCUUUCUAGCUUUUAUUGUCUCUUGACCAUCAUUUCUGAUGAAUUCUAUGUAUUGUGUUUGUCUGUGUUUUUGUAAGUGAGAGGUUCUUAAAGUUAUGUAUGUGGCCGUGUUGUACUUGA